rnacentral:rRNA from 1 species
AUUGAACGCUGGCGGCAUGCUUUACACAUGCAAGUCGAACGGUAACAGGCCGCAAGGUGCUGACGAGUGGCGAACGGGUGAGUAAUGCAUCGGAACGUGCCCAGUCGUGGGGGAUAACUACUCGAAAGAGUAGCUAAUACCGAAUACGAUCUAUGGAUGAAAGCGGGGGACCGUAAGGCCUCGCGCGAUUGGAGCGGCCGAUGUCAGAUUAGGUAGUUGGUGGGGUAAAGGCUCACCAAGCCAACGAUCUGUAGCUGGUCUGAGAGGACGACCAGCCACACUGGGACUGAGACACGGCCCAGACUCCUACGGGAGGCAGCAGUGGGGAAUUUUGGACAAUGGGCGCAAGCCUGAUCCAGCAAUGCCGCGUGCAGGAAGAAGGCCUUCGGGUUGUAAACUGCUUUUGUACGGAACGAAACGGCUCUGGUUAAUACCCGGGGCUAAUGACGGUACCGUAAGAAUAAGCACCGGCUAACUACGUG